GGGGGUGUAGCUCAGCUGGUAGAGCGCUUGACUGGCAGUCAAGAGGUUUCGUGGGUUCGAGUCCCAUCACCUCCACCA
rnacentral:tRNA from 1 species